rnacentral:RNase_P_RNA from 1 species
GGCAGCCGGAUAGCCGCAUGGCGAAUGUAAUGUUCGAUGAUGAGGAAAGUCCGGGCUUCAUGGAAACAAGACACCGGAUAACGUCCGGCCGGAGAAAUCCGAGGGAAAGUGCCACAGAAAAUUACCGCCGAAUAAAGUUCGGUAAGGUUGAAAAGGUGAGGUAAGAGCUCACCGCAAGGUUAGCAAUAACUUUGGCAUAGGUAAACCCUGUUUGAAGCAAGACCAAAUUAGGAGGGCUUUGAUUUUUUCAAAGUUAUACGAGGCGUUUCCACCUUGCUCCAUAGGCGGGUCGCGAUGAGUGUAACAGCAAUGUUGCGCCGAGAUGAAUGGCUAUCAUUUUGUUUUUGCCGCAAGGCAGGAGCAAAAUACAGAACCCGGCUUACAGGCUGCCUGA